GGGUUGUGAGGUUAAGCGACUAAGCGUACACGGUGGAUGCCCUGGCAGUCAGAGGCGAUGAAGGACGUGCUAAUCUGCGAAAAGCGUCGGUAAGGUGAUAUGAACCGUUACAGCCGGCGAUGUCCGAAUGGGGAAACCCAGUGCAAUUCGUUGCACUAUCGUUAACUGAAUACAUAGGUUAACGAGGCGAACCGGGGGAACUGAAACAUCUAAGUACCCCGAGGAAAAGAAAUCAACCGAGAUUCCCCCAGUAGCGGCGAGCGAACGGGGAGCAGCCCAGAGUCUGAAUCAGCUUGUGUGUUAGUGGAACGGUCUGGAAAGUCCGACGGUACAGGGUGAUAGUCCCGUACACCAAAAUGCACAGGUUGUGAACUCGAAGAGUAGGGCGGGACACGUGGUAUCCUGUCUGAAUAUGGGGGGACCAUCCUCCAAGGCUAAAUACUCCUGACUGACCGAUAGUGAACCAGUACCGUGAGGGAAAGGCGAAAAGAACCCCGGCGAGGGGAGUGAAAAAGAACCUGAAACCGUGUACGUACAAGCAGUGGGAGCACCUUCGGGUGUGACUGCGUACCUUUUGUAUAAUGGGUCAGCGACUUAUAUUCUGUAGCAAGGUUAACCGUAUAGGGGAGCCGCAGGGAAACCGAGUCUUAACUGGGCGUUAAGUUGCAGGGUAUAGACCCGAAACCCGGUGAUCUAGCCAUGGGCAGGUUGAAGGUUGGGUAACACUAACUGGAGGACCGAACCGACUAAUGUUGAAAAAUUAGCGGAUGACUUGUGGCUGGGGGUGAAAGGCCAAUCAAACCGGGAGAUAGCUGGUUCUCCCCGAAAGCUAUUUAGGUAGCGCCUCGUGAAUUCAUCUUCGGGGGUAGAGCACUGUUUCGGCUAGGGGGUCAUCCCGACUUACCAACCCGAUGCAAACUACGAAUACCGAAGAAUGUUAUCACGGGAGACACACGGCGGGUGCUAACGUCCGUCGUGAAGAGGGAAACAACCCAGACCGCCAGCUAAGGUCCCAAAGUCAUGGUUAAGUGGGAAACGAUGUGGGAAGGCACAGACAGCCAGGAUGUUGGCUUAGAAGCAGCCAUCAUUUAAAGAAAGCGUAAUAGCUCACUGGUCGAGUCGGCCUGCGCGGAAGAUGUAACGGGGCUAAACCAUGCACCGAAGCUGCGGCAGCGACACUAUGUGUUGUUGGGUAGGGGAGCGUUCUGUAAGCCUGCGAAGGUGGCCUGUGAGGGUUGCUGGAGGUAUCAGAAGUGCGAAUGCUGACAUAAGUAACGAUAAAGCGGGUGAAAAGCCCGCUCGCCGGAAGACCAAGGGUUCCUGUCCAACGUUAAUCGGGGCAGGGUGAGUCGACCCCUAAGGCGAGGCCGAAAGGCGUAGUCGAUGGGAAACAGGUUAAUAUUCCUGUACUUGGUGUUACUGCGAAGGGGGGACGGAGAAGGCUAUGUUAGCCGGGCGACGGUUGUCCCGGUUUAAGCAUGUAGGCGGAGGUUCCAGGUAAAUCCGGUACCUUUUAACGCUGAGGUGUGAUGACGAGGCACUACGGUGCUGAAGUAACAAAUGCCCUGCUUCCAGGAAAAGCCUCUAAGCAUCAGGUAACAUCAAAUCGUACCCCAAACCGACACAGGUGGUCAGGUAGAGAAUACCAAGGCGCUUGAGAGAACUCGGGUGAAGGAACUAGGCAAAAUGGUGCCGUAACUUCGGGAGAAGGCACGCUGGUGUGUAGGUGAAGUCCCUGCGGAUGGAGCUGAGACCAGUCGAAGAUACCAGCUGGCUGCAACUGUUUAUUAAAAACACAGCACUGUGCAAACACGAAAGUGGACGUAUACGGUGUGACGCCUGCCCGGUGCCGGAAGGUUAAUUGAUGGGGUUAUCCGUAAGGAGAAGCUCUUGAUCGAAGCCCCGGUAAACGGCGGCCGUAACUAUAACGGUCCUAAGGUAGCGAAAUUCCUUGUCGGGUAAGUUCCGACCUGCACGAAUGGCGUAAUGAUGGCCAGGCUGUCUCCACCCGAGACUCAGUGAAAUUGAACUCGCUGUGAAGAUGCAGUGUACCCGCGGCAAGACGGAAAGACCCCGUGAACCUUUACUAUAGCUUGACACUGAACAUUGAGCCUUGAUGUGUAGGAUAGGUGGGAGGCUUUGAAGCGUGGACGCCAGUCUGCGUGGAGCCAACCUUGAAAUACCACCCUUUAAUGUUUGAUGUUCUAACGUUGGCCCCUUAUCGGGGUUGCGGACAGUGUCUGGUGGGUAGUUUGACUGGGGCGGUCUCCUCCCAAAGAGUAACGGAGGAGCACGAAGGUUAGCUAAUCCUGGUCGGACAUCAGGAGGUUAGUGCAAUGGCAUAAGCUAGCUUGACUGCGAGCGUGACGGCGCGAGCAGGUGCGAAAGCAGGUCAUAGUGAUCCGGUGGUUCUGAAUGGAAGGGCCAUCGCUCAACGGAUAAAAGGUACUCCGGGGAUAACAGGCUGAUACCGCCCAAGAGUUCAUAUCGACGGCGGUGUUUGGCACCUCGAUGUCGGCUCAUCACAUCCUGGGGCUGAAGUAGGUCCCAAGGGUAUGGCUGUUCGCCAUUUAAAGUGGUACGCGAGCUGGGUUUAGAACGUCGUGAGACAGUUCGGUCCCUAUCUGCCGUGGGCGCUGGAGAAUUGAGGGGGGCUGCUCCUAGUACGAGAGGACCGGAGUGGACGCAUCACUGGUGUUCGGGUUGUCAUGCCAAUGGCACUGCCCGGUAGCUAAAUGCGGAAGAGAUAAGUGCUGAAAGCAUCUAAGCACGAAACUUGCCCCGAGAUGAGUUCUCCCUGAGACUAUAAGUCUCCUGAAGGAACGUUGAAGACGACGACGUUGAUAGGCCGGGUGUGUAAGCGCAGCGAUGCGUUGAGCUAACCGGUACUAAUGAACCGUGAGGCUUAACCUUACAACGCCGAAG
rnacentral:rRNA from 1 species